GGCGAAAUUGUAGUGCAAGUGAAGAUGCUUGCUACCCGCGAUUGGACGGAAAGACCCCGUAGAGCUUUACUGUAGCUUAGCAUUGAAUCUCGGUAUUGUCUGUACAGGAUAGGUGGGAGACUUGGAAGCUUGGGCGUCAGCCUGAGUGGAGUCAUCCUUGGGAUACCACCCUGACAGUACUGGGGUUCUAACCGGCGGCCAUGAAUCUGGUCACGGGACAUUGUUAGGUGGGCAGUUUGACUGGGGCGGUCGCC
rnacentral:rRNA from 1 species